AUAAUAAUUUCAUGACUAAGUUUACUGAAUUGUAUUUUUUUAAGUGGGUGAGUUAUAUACAGCACAUAGCUCAGUGAAACCACAGCUCCCGAAAAUGGAAAUGGCUCCUCUCUAUCAGAGACCAUAGUGACAGCACAGGCACAUACAUGUUCUUAAAAGCUGGCACAUGAGUCUAGGGCUUAUGCAAGACUGUUCAGAACACUUACGGACUUCCUGUCCACUUGGUGGAUAAUUAUGUCUUCACAAGUAUCCACGUUCUCUACUUGAGGAAGCGUGAGUCCGAGGGUCUAGCCAAGUGUGAGAUAUUUGGGAAGGAGGAAGGCUGCUCAUCUAAGAUCCAAGCCAGGGAUCACUGACUAAAAUGAAGGAUGAAUUCCUAUCAAGUUAAAGGGCUGAAUGACUACCUCAUGGGAAGGUAGGAACGCUCUGAAGACAACAGAAGGCACUCUUCUUUUCCACCAGAUCAAGAGAAGCCAUGUUUACUGACCACUGAGAAGUGCCUUUGUUCAACUGGAAAGAGAAGGAAAGAAGUGAGUCUGGGCGGAGCCAAGAAGGGGCAGGUUCCUUGGAGAGAAAGAGAAGACAGAGCUCUUGUCUCUUGUGCCCAGACAUGUCGAGAAGAGUCCCUGGCAAUCAGAGGCUGACAGAGAUUAGAGUCAAUGAUGAAUUUCCAGAGUUGCUGUGAGGCAGUGUUUAUAGCACACCUCGUAUGUGUUAUGAAGCUCCAGAAGUUACUAAAGUUGGAACUCCCCGGAUUCGGCAUAAACGUCAUAUCCCGACUCCCAAGGCUGAACCCCGUCUCAUUGGCUGAUGAACAUGAUUCUGGCGUAUUCUUAACCCUUAGGCUGGAAGUUGGAUUUUGUACAGAGAGCUUGUUGCUUAUGAGCGUUCAGACAGGACUCAGCAUCCAACACAGUUGUGGCGCCAGGGAACCAAAGCCAAGGAUCCCACGGAAACUUAUAGCACUGCAGAGAACCAAACCCUAGGGGCAUCUUCAGAAGGGUUGGUUAUCAGUACCUGCCAGCGACAAGCGCUUACCUCUGUCGGGUGAGCGCGUUGGCAACGGGUGUGGGAUGAUGUCCUUCUGAACGCUGUGAAUGUGCUGCUUUUAGUGGUUGCUGAAUAAAGCUGCUUAGACCAAUGGCCAGUCAGAAUACAGCCAGGCGGGAAAUUCAAAGAGUUACCGAGAGAAAGAAGGCGGAGUCAGGGAGACACCAUGCAGCUAUGUGGAAAGCAAGAUGUGAAGUCAUAAGCCACGGGCCUCGUGGCAAAAUACAAAAUAAUAGAAAUGGGUUCAUUUAAUUCUGAGAGCUAGUUAAUAGCAUUUCUGAGCCAUUGGCCAAGCAAUUACAAUUAACCGCAAGCAUUCGAGUGGUUAUUUGGGAACCGGCCCGCAGGAUGAGAAACCUCCAACUACAGACAGCAAUGUAUUUUUCUUUUGUGUUGUGAUUCUCUCCAGACAAUCUUGAAUGGACAUGCUCCCUUUAGGACAUGGAAAAAUGCACUUAGAAAAAAAUAAAAAAUUAAAAAGGAAGUAUUUUUUUUUUUUGCCAGACCAAAGAAUAUGUGCUGUCCUUGGUUUUGUCAGUGUUUUUACAAAGCUUGGACACCCGUAGUUCCCAAUGUCCUGGAAUUUGGAGGCGAUUCAGCUCUGGCCUUUUCUGGUAUAGACAGGAACUGCCUUGAAUUUGUUGGUGAGUUAUGUCAGAGGGCCCCAGGGAGAUACCCUAAUGUCUCAGAACACUGUGUGAAGUCCUUUAGCCAUUAUAGAAUGUUUAGUAAAGCC